rnacentral:lncRNA from 1 species
AGAGUAUACAGGGCACAACUGUAGCCAACUGUCUAACUGAAGAUCACGCCUGGUAUUUCUCAGUUUGCAUGGAUUAUGAGUGGGGAAAGCAAGGAUUUCCCAGUUUACUGCAGAAGCUGAUCCCUUGAGUUCUGUCCUGUUCAAGUGUAGAGACGGCGCCUUCAGCAAGACGAGCCAUUGCUUUAUUUUUAAAGCUCGCUUAUGUCAACGCUUUCUUCCGUGACUAUGUUGGCCACGAUUAUUCAGGGCAAAUUACCUUUUAAUUGAGUCCCUUGAUUCAAGUCUUUAGAGAAGUAAUCCUGCCUUCUGCAUUCACUGGCCUCUAGAAAUACUGAGAGGAGGCAGAAGAUGACCAGAGAAGACCAUCCACAGGCCAGAGUACCUAAUACCUAGUGAAACAGAAGCAAAAUUUAAAAAUAUUAUUUUGAAAAUAUUAUUAAAGGCUUUUAAAAGAAUCAAAGUACUCAUCAAAGGAAAAAACCCACAAAAA